UACGGGGGGGGCAAGCGUUGUUCGGAAUUACUGGGCGUAAAGGGCUCGUAGGCGGCCAACUAAGUCAUACGUGAAAUCCCUCGGCUUAACCGGGGAACUGCGUCUGAUACUGGACGGCUUGAGGUUGGGAGAGGGAUGCGGAAUUCCAGGUGUAGCGGUGAAAUGCGUAGAUAUCUGGAGGAACACCGGUGGCGAAGGCGGCAUCCUGGACCAAUUCUGACGCUGAGGAGCGAAAGCCAGGGGAGCAAACGGG
rnacentral:rRNA from 1 species